GGAAGUGAUGCGAAUUGGCGAGUAACCGGCUUCGAAACCCGGAAGGCCGAAAGGCCGUGGUGGUUCGAGUCCACCCGCUUCCGCCA
rnacentral:tRNA from 1 species